rnacentral:rRNA from 1 species
UACGUAGGCAGCAAGCGUUGUUCGGAGUUACUGGGCGUAAAGGGUGUGUAGGCGGUUGGAUAAGUGUGGUGGGAAAUCUCCCGGCUCAACUGGGAGGGUGCGCUACAAACUGUCUGACUAGAGUGCGGGAUGGGAAAGUGGAAUUCCUGGUGUAGCGGUGAAAUGCGUAGAUAUCAGGAGGAACACCGGUGGUGUAGACGGCUUUCUGGACCGUAACUGACGCUGAUACACGAAAGCGUGGGUAGCAAACAGG